rnacentral:rRNA from 1 species
UUGAUCAUGCUCAGAUUGAACGCUGGCGGCAGGCCUAACACAUGCAAGUCGAACGGUAACAGGAAGCAGCUUGCUGCUUUGCUGACGAGUGGCGGACGGGUGAGUAAUGUCUGGGAAACUGCCUGAUGGAGGGGGAUAACUACUGGAAACGGUAGCUAAUACCGCAUAACGUCGCAAGACCAAAGAGGGGGACCUUCGGGCCUCUUGCCAUCGGAUGUGCCCAGAUGGGAUUAGCUAGUAGGUGGGGUAACGGCUCACCUAGGCGACGAUCCCUAGCUGGUCUGAGAGGAUGACCAGCCACACUGGAACUGAGACACGGUCCAGACUCCUACGGGAGGCAGCAGUGGGGAAUAUUGCACAAUGGGCGCAAGCCUGAUGCAGCCAUGCCGCGUGUAUGAAGAAGGCCUUCGGGUUGUAAAGUACUUUCAGCGGGGAGGAAGGC